rnacentral:rRNA from 1 species
UACAGAGGUCCCAAGCGUUGUUCGGAUUCAUUGGGCGUAAAGGGUGUGUAGGUGGCGCCGUAAGUCGGGUGUGAAAUUUCGGAGCCUUAACUCCGAAACUGCAUUCGAUACUGCGGUGCUUGAGGACUGGAGAGGAGACUGGAAUUCAUGGUGUAGCAGUGAAAUGCGUAGAGAUCAUGAGGAAGACCAGUGGCGAAGGCGGGUCUCUGGACAGUUCCUGA